rnacentral:rRNA from 1 species
GACGUAGGGCGCGAGCGUUGUCCGGAAUUAUUGGGCGUAAAGAGCUCGUAGGCGGUGUGUCGCGUCGGCCGUGAAAACCUGCAGCUUAACUGUGGGCGUGCGGUCGAUACGGGCAUCACUGGAGUUCGGCAGGGGAGACUGGAAUUCCUGGUGUAGCGGUGAAAUGCGUAGAUAUCGAGAGGAACACCUGCGGCGAAGGCGGGUUGCUGGGCUGAUACUGACGCUGAGGCGCGAAAGCCAGGGGAGCGAACGGG